rnacentral:misc_RNA from 1 species
GCAAACUUGGUCAUUUAGAGGAAGUAAAAGUCGUAACAAGGUCUCCGUAGGUGAACCUGCGGAGGGAUCAUUUAUGAAUCGAGGCCGGGUAUGCCUUUGGCUUCCCGGGCUUGCCUCCUUUCAAACCUGUGGGCCGAGAUGUGGAUUGGCGACCCCCCAAAAGGGGGCGCCUCUUCAAUGCAGUCAAGCCUUUGUGUCUGAGUUUAAGUUAACACCUUUAAAACUUUCAACAACGGAUCUCUUGGCUCUUGCAUCGAUGAAGAACGCAGC